rnacentral:rRNA from 1 species
AUGGCGACCGGGCUAGGAGUCACCGCGAAGGCCGUGCUGCUGGUGCUAGCGCCGGUGGUGAUCUCCGUGGCGCUGUACAGCCCCAAGGACUUCUCUCCGGCGGAGCUGCCGCCCGAGCACAGCUUCGGCCCCGACGUUUCCGCGCCGCGGCACGACGCCCGCGUGCUGGCCGCGAGCGAGCGGAUCGGGGAGGGGCUGCUCCCGGGCCCCGAGGACCUGGCCUACGACGCCGCCGGCGGGUGGCUGUACACCGGGUGCGCCGACGGGUGGGUCCGCCGCGUGAGCGUUCCUGGCGGGGACGUGGAGGACUGGGCCUACACCGGCGGCCGCCCGCUCGGCGUCGUGCUCGCGGGCGACGGCGGCCUCGUCGUGGCGGACGCGGAUAAGGGCUUGCUAAAGGUGAGGCCGGACAAGACGGUGGAGAUGCUGACGGACGCGGCGGAGGGCCUCAAGUUCGCCCUGACGGACGGCGUGGACAUCGCCGCCGACGGCACCAUCUACUUCACCGACGCCUCGUACAAGUACAGCCUCGCGGACCACUUUCUGGACGUGCUCGAGGCACGGCCCCACGGCCGGCUCAUGAGCUUCGACCCCUCCACGCGCCGGACCUCCGUGCUCGCCCGCGACCUCUACUUCGCCAACGGCGUCGCCGUCGCGCCGGACCAGGACUCGCUUAUCUUCUGUGAGACGGUCAUGAGGAGGUGCUCGAGGUACCACAUCAGGGGCGACAAGGCAGGCACGGUGGAGAGCUUCAUCGACAGCCUGCCGGGGCUCCCGGACAACAUCCGAUACAACGGCGAGGGCCGGUACUGGAUCGCGCUCUCGGCGGGGAGGACGCUGCAGUUGGACGUGUUGAUGUGGUCGCCCUUGGUGCGGAAGCUCGUGUACAUGGUGGGGAAGUACGUGAUGGCGGUGCCGCAGGGCCUGAGGGACUCGGGGACGAUGAGCGUGGCUCUAAACGGCGAGCCGGCGACCAUGUACACUGACCCGGGACUCGCGCUCGCCACCGGCUGGCUCAAGGUCGGGGGCUACCUCUACUACGGGUCGCUGGCAAGCUCGUACAUCAGCAGGGUCGACCUCACCAAAUCAUCCAUCGAAGCCUAG